GGGCAUUGUAUUAGCUACUUUUUCUCAUUACAGUAGUAAAAUUUCUAACCAAAAAAAAAAAAAAAAAACCCGAAACACUUGAGGGAAGGACUUACUUUGGUUUACUGUUUGAAAGUCCAGUCCAGCUUGGCAGCAAAUACAUGAGUGUCCAGUCCCAUUUCAUCUUUAGAAAGGAGAGAGGGAUGAAUGCUGGUGUUGCAUUUGCUUUCUUCUUGCCAUUUGGUCCAGGAGCUUGGCCCAGGGUAUAGUGUGAGUGCCUGAUCCUUUAAAGGAUCCCCAGUUACUAGUCAAGAUGGCUCAGGGGUUAAGAGCACUAACUGUUCUUCCAGAAGUCCUGAGUUCAAAUCCCAGCAACCACAUGGUGGCUCACAACCAUCUAUAAUGGGAUCCCAUGACCUCUACUGGUGUGUCUGAAGACUGGGACAGUGUAAUCAUAUGCAUAAAAUAAAUAAAUCUUAAGAAAAAGACAAAGAUUUUAAAAAGAAGAAGUCUAUCUGUAACUUUUCAGUGUUAGUUGCCUCCUAAAUUUCUGGGAACAGGAUCGGAUAUUAAAAAGCCAGCUGAGGCUGAGAACGGGAACUGGGCUACCAGAGUGGGAAGAGAAGGCAGUUAGUGGAAAAGAUAUUGUUAGGAGACAGUUGAAGUGGGAGAAGCUGAUCUGAGCAAAUAGGCUAGAACAGCUGUUAUAAUUUGGAGGUGCUACUAUUGGGAAAACUGGGAGAAGGGACGGUUUAAUCAGACUGUUGGGAAGCUGAGGGAAGAAAUGUUUGAAGGGGCUGGGUAAGAAACUGGGAGGAGGGCUGGCAGGGAGUUUAGAGAACUGGUUACUGUUGUAAAACAGCUAGCGAUUUUAUAUAGGGAAUGAUGCCGCCCACAUUCAGAAUGGGUCUUCCCUCCUCAGUUCAACCUCUCUGGUAAUGCCCUCAAAGGCAUGGGAGGUAUAUCACCCAGGUGAUUCUAAAUAUUUUCAAGCUUAUAAUCAAGAUUAACUAUUACAAGUCAACCCUUUGUCUGCAUGAUAUCCGAACAUAUUUUUAAGUCAAAAUUUCCUGCCUCUGGACUCCAUAGGCUCAUGCUCACCUUAAUGCAGAAUUCAUUCAUAUCAAUAUCAAAUUUCAAAACUGUUGAAAAUUCCAGAGUCUCUUCUGAGACUCUUGAGUCCUCUUAACCACCACAGAGUUAAAGAACAAGUUGCAUAUUUCCCAGGUACAGGAUAAGAAAAGCUAUUUCCAAAAGAAAAGAAUAGGAACAUAGCAAAGACAGUGUGGUUCCGCAUUUCGCCUUGCCUUUGGGACUGACAAAAAGCAGAGGUGUUAGGUUACAUUCCCUCACUGCCUUUGGGGUAUGGGCAUGGCAGAACACAGUUUAAGAUGGGGACCCCAGCCCAGGUAAGAAAGGAGACAGGCUGAGGGUGAGGAGGCAAGAAUCCCUAAACUCCCAGGCGACUAGUCACCAGUGGGAACCUUACAGAGUCAGAACAAGGAGGCUGGACAGUACGGCAGCAAGCCCAGGAGUGGGGGUUAGAGGACUCUGGCUUAGCUCAAGGGUGAGUCCCUGGACUGUGGUUCUUGAUGAGAGAGACAGCCCUUGCUUGUUCAAUCUGUUUGUUUAUUGUUCAUCAUGGGAAAUGGGUGCAUAUGGUUUACUGAGGGUGGAUCAAAGAUUAAGUACUUUUUGCAGGAAGGAAUGUUGGGGGGGGGGAAGCUUUUUGGCUAAACCCUUGGAGCCAGCCCAUCUAGAUACCUCAUUAGCAUGUCGUACUCUGUAUUCUGUGCUGUUCCUGUGGGGUGUCGUGGUCAUGGGCUCCAGGGCAUGAACCGGAUAGGCAGUAGAUGAUAACACCUACCUUUCUCAGAUACAAAAAGUACUGGGGUCUCUGAAUCCUCUCAACCUUCCCAGUUUUUUCUGGUGAUAUGGUUCCACUUGCCCUACAGGACAAAUCAGGCUAAAGCAAGACAGAAGACUCAAUCCAAACCCCAAGACCUGAAGCUCUAUUUGUUGUCUGGAGAUCUUGAUAGCAUCAUAUGUGUGGUGGUUUGAUUGAAAUAACACCCCCUAUUUUGUUCCUUUGAAUACUUGGUCUCCAGUUGGUGGUGUUCUGUGGGAAGGUAUAGGAGGUGUCCUCUUGUUGGAAGAGUAUGUCACUGAAGGUGUGCUUGAAGAGUUUGAAGACUCAGGCAGUUGGAGUGUGCCUUCUGCCUACACUUUGAGAUAUAAGCUCUUGGCCAUCUAGCUUGCCUGCUGCCAUGCUUUGCCCCUGUAAUAGUGAUAAACUCUUACCCCUCUAGAACUAUAAGCCAUAAACCCUUCUUUGUGUAAGUUGCCUUGGCCAUGGUAUUCUGUCACAGCAAUGCAAAAGUAUCUAAUACAGAACAGAACUUGAUACCAGAGAGUGGCCUGGUGCUGUGAAGAACCCUAACAUGUGGGGUCUGGGUGGAAUGUGGAAGGCUUUGCGACAUUGUACUACAUAAGCCAUAGAAUGCUGUAAAUAGGCUUACCAGCUCAUCCUAAUAGGAGCUUUGCAAACCAUGGAGGCCCAGCUCAACAGGUUUAGAAGGGAACAAGGUUAACUACUGGGCUACAAAACAUUCCUAUGCUAUGUGGGGGGGGGGGGGAGAUGUAGCUGCUUUCUGCCCAUGGUUUAAGAACUUACCUGAGGCUAAAUUUAAAAGUAAUGGACUAAUUUCUUUGGCAGAGGAGAAUUCAAGAUAGCCUAAUAAUUACUUGUCAUGCAGUUGUUAGUAAUUACUCUUAAGUUAAUCUACAGGGAAAGGAGCAACUGGGCAAAAAGAAAACAUACUUUUAAAAAAAAAUUAUUAUUAUAUUUAAGUACACCAUAGCUGUCUUCAGAUGUACCAGAAGAGGGCAUCAGAUCUCAUUAUGGAUCAUUGUGAGCCACCAUGUGGUUGCUGGGAUUUGAACUCAGGACCUUCAGAAGAGCAGUCAGUGCUCUUAACUGCUGAGCCAUCUCUCCAGCUUGAAAACAUACUUUUUGAAGAGG
rnacentral:lncRNA from 1 species